CAAUGUACACAUACUGAACACCCUAAAGGUAGGAGAUCCCAUCUGAUCUUGGAAGCUAAGCAGGGUCAGCUCUGGUUAGUACUUGGGAGGGAACUGCCAAAGAACACCCGGUUCUAUAGACC
rfam:Anolis carolinensis unplaced genomic scaffold chrTn0096, whole genome shotgun sequence.